GAUGAACGCUGGCGGCGUGCCUAAUACAUGUAAGUCGAGCGAACAGACGAGGAGCUUGCUCCUCUGACGUUAGCGGCGGACGGGUGAGUAACACGUGGAUAACCUACCUAUAAGACUGGGAUAACUUCGGGAAACCGGAGCUAAUACCGGAUAAUAUAUUGAACCGCAUGGUUCAAUAGUGAAAGACGGUUUUGCUGUCACUUAUAGAUGGAUCCGCGCCGCAUUAGCUAGUUGGUAAGGUAACGGCUUACCAAGGCAACGAUGCGUAGCCGAUCUGAGAGGGUGAUCGGCCACACUGGAACUGAGACACGGUCCAGACUCCUACGGGAGGCAGCAGUAGGGAAUCUUCCGCAAUGGGCGAAAGCCUGACGGAGCAACGCCGCGUGAGUGAUGAAGGUCUUCGGAUCGUAAAACUCUGUUAUUAGGGAAGAACAAAUGUGUAAGUAACUAUGCACGUCUUGACGGUACCUAAUCAGAAAGCCACGGCUAACUACGUG
rnacentral:rRNA from 1 species